rnacentral:misc_RNA from 1 species
GAUGAAGAACGCAGCGAAAUGUGAUAAGUAAUGUGAAUUGCAGAAUUCAGUGAAUCAUCGAAUCUUUGAACGCACAUUGCGCCCGCCAGUAUUCUGGCGAGCAUGCCUGUUCGAGCGUCAUUUCAACCAUCAAGCCCCAGGCUUGUGUUGGAGCCCUGCGGCUGCCGCAGCCUCCCAAAACCAGUGGCGGGCUCGCUAUCACACCGAGUGCAGUAGUUUACUCUUCGCUCAGGGCGUGUGGCGGGUGCUAGCCGUGAAACCCCCAACUUCUCAAGGUUGACCUCGGAUCAGGGAGGAAUACCCGCUGAACUUAAGCAUAUCAAUAAGCGGAGGA